GUGCUCAUUUUCGCAGCACAUAUAUGGGAGUUGGAAUGAUAUAGAGAAGAUUAGCAUGGCCCCUGCGCAAAGACAACACGCAAAUUUGUGAUGCAUUCCAUAUUUUA